UUUAGUGACUGUAGUAACAAAAAGAAAUAUACAAUAACCCAUCACUUAAAAAUAGUUUCACGUUAUCUUUGUGAAAGAUUAAAGCAUUUCUAUUCAUCUAAGAGAUUUUUAGAUAUACGUAAGCAUCCAGAUGGAUAGGACUCACUAAGGAGAUCAUGAUGAAUUGUAAUCCAAGUGUUUUAACAUAAUUUAGGAAGAUUAAUUGAUCAAUUACAGUGUGUUUAUGGAAAAUCAACACCAAAUUGGUGGAAGGAUGAAAAAUGUAUGUAGGAGGAUGGGGCCAAUUCUGUAUGCUGUAAAGAAUAAAAGACAGUAUUAAUGCAUUGCAAGCAACCACUCUAAAUAAUGGAGGUUAAUAUUACAUUGUUUUGACUAAUGGAGAAUUUAUUGCUUAUACAUUAAAUCUACUUUUAUUUACACUCCUAAACUAUGCUCAAAGACAAGGGACAUAACAGUAACAGGAAGAAACAUGAUAUUGAAAGUAAUAUUAUGAAAUGAGUGAAUG